rnacentral:rRNA from 1 species
UAGCUAGUUGGUGAGGUAAAGGCUUACCAAGGCGACGAUCUGUAGCGGGUCUGAGAGGAUGAUCCGCCACACUGGAACUGAGACACGGUCCAGACUCCUACGGGAGGCAGCAGUGGGGAAUUUUGGACAAUGGGGGCAACCCUGACCCAGCCAUGCCGCGUGAGUGAAGAAGGCCUUCGGGUUGUAAAGCUCUUUCGGCCGGGAAGAAAUCGCAUGGGCCAAUACCCUGUGUGGAUGACGGUACCGGAAUAAGAAGCACCGGCUAACUACGUGCCAGCAGCCGCGGUAAUACGUAGGGUGCGAGCGUUAAUCGGAAUUACUGGGCGUAAAGCGUGCGCAGGCGGUUUUGUAAGACAGGCGUGAAAUCCCCGGGCUUAACCUGGGAACUGCGUUUGUGACUGCAAGGCUAGAGUACGGCAGAGGGGGGUGGAAUUCCACGUGUAGCAGUGAAAUGCGUAGAGAUGUGGAGGAACACCAAUGGCGAAGGCAGCCCCCUGGGUCGAUACUGACGCUCAUGCACGAAAGCGUGGGUAGCAAACAGGAUUAGAUACCCUGGUAGUCCACGCCCUAAACUAUGUCAACUAGGUGUUGGGUGGGUAAAACCAUUUAGUACCGUAGCUAACGCGUGAAGUUGACCGCCUGGGGAGUACGGCCGCAAGGUUAAAACUCAAAGGAAUUGACGGGGACCCGCACAAGCGGUGGAUGAUGUGGAUUAAUUCGAUGCAACGCGAAAAACCUUACCUACCCUUGACAUGCCAGGAACUUGCCAGAGAUGGCUUGGUGCCCGAAAGGGAGCCUGGACACAGGUGCUGCAUGGCUGUCGUCAGCUCGUGUCGUGAGAUGUUGGGUUAAGUCCCGCAACGAGCGCAACCCUUGUCGUUAAUUGCCAUCAUUUGGUUGGGCACUUUAACGAGACUGCCGGUGACAAACCGGAGGAAGGUGGGGAUGACGUCAAGUCCUCAUGGCCCUUAUGGGUAGGGCUUCACACGUCAUACAAUGGUCGGUACAAAGGGUUGCCAAGCCGCGAGGCGGAGCCAAUCCCAGAAAGCCGAUCGUAGUCCGGAUUGCAGGCUGCAACCCGCCUGCAUGAAGUCGGAAUCGCUAGUAAUCGUGGAUCAGCAUGUCACGGUGAAUACGUUCCCGGGUCUUGUACACACCGCCCGUCACACCAUGGGAGCGGGUUCCGCCAGAAGUAGGUAGCCUAACCGCAAGGGGGGCGCUUACCACGGCGGGGUUCGUGACUGGGGUGAAGUCGUAACAAGGUAGCCGUAGGGGAACCUGCGGCUG